rnacentral:rRNA from 1 species
GAUGAACGCUAGCUACAGGCUUAACACAUGCAAGUCGAGGGGCAGCAGGGAUUUAGCUUGCUAAAUCCGCUGGCGACCGGCGCACGGGUGCGUAACGCGUAUGUAACCUACCUUUAACAGGGGGAUAACACUGAGAAAUUGGUACUAAUACCCCAUAACACCUGAGGAGGCAUCUUUUUGGGUUGAAAGUUCCGGCGGUUAAAGAUGGACAUGCGUUGUAUUAGCUAGAUGGUGAGGUAAAGGCUCACCUAGGCGACGAUCUCUAGCUGGUCUGAGAGGAUGAUCAGCCACAUUGGGACUGAGACACGGCCCAGACUCCUACGGGAGGCAGCAGUAGGGAAUAUUGCACAAUGGAGGAAACUCUGAUGCAGCCAUGCCGCGUGUGUGAAGAAGGCCUUCGGGUUGUAAAGCACUUUCAGAGGGGAGGAGAAUGACGUUACCCUCAGAAGAAGCACCGGCUAACUCCGUG